GACGAACGCUGGCGGCGUGCCUAACACAUGCAAGUGGAGCGACGAACCAGGCUUCGGCCUGGGGCAAAGCCGCGAACGGGUGAGUAACACGUGGGUAACCUGCCCCGAUGAUUGGGACAACCCGAGGAAACUCGGGCUAAUACCGAAUGUGCCCUACAGCUUCAAGGCUGGUGGGGAAAGGAAGCUUCGGCCUCCGCAUCGGGAUGGGCCCGCGGCCCAUUAGCUUGUUGGUGAGGUAACGGCNCACCAAGGCUACGAUGGGUAGCUGGUCUGAGAGGACGAUCAGCCACACUGGGACUGAGACACGGCCCAGACUCCUACGGGAGGCAGCAGUGGGGAAUCUUGCGCAAUGCGCGAAAGCGUGACGCAGCAACGCCGCGUGGGGGAAGACGGCCUCGGUGUAACCCGUUA
rnacentral:rRNA from 1 species